CUAAAGACAUUUCCGCGGGUCAGUCCGCGCGUGUACGCGUUAAGAAUUACAUGUCGCGUGAUAUUUCGUCCAAAACAAAAUGGCGGCAUUUAUAAGUUUAUUUUUUUUAUUUGUGACACUGUUACAUGACUUAGCCGACGGCCGGGGAUUGGCAGGAUCGUCACAUGACAAGGUUAUAGUGUGCUACGUGUCCCGAUGGUCAGUGUACCGGCCUGGAGCUGGUAGCUUCGACAUAUUCGAUAUAGAGCCGUCGCUCUGCACACAUCUUAUUUAUUGCUUCGUCGGCCUUGACGAGAACACGUUUAAGAUCACUAAUAUUGAUGCAUACCAAGAUUUGGAAAUUAAUGAUGGUAAAGGAGGGUUUAAGCGGAUCGUGGCCUUGAAAGAGAAGCACAAACACCUUAAAGUCUCAAUAGGUAUUGGAGGAUGGAAUGAGGGUUCCGCUAAAUAUUCCAAGAUGGCUGCUGAUCCAAAACUGAGGAAUAUAUUUAUAAGGAGUGUCAUGAACUUUUUAGAAACAUAUAAAUUCGAUGGUCUCGAUUUGAACUGGGAUUACCCGACACAAAGAGGAGGCAAGCCGGAAGAUAGGAAAAACUACGUACAUUUGAUUAGGGAAUUGUCAGAAGCAUUCGAACCAUAUGGCUUUCUUCUAACAGCUGCACUAAGACCUGGCAAAGACGAUAUGGACACGGUGUACGAUCUGACACAUGUCAAUUACUACCUAGAUUUCAUGCACAUCAUGACGUAUGACUACCAUGGAGCUUGGGAUGGCGUGGUGGGAGCGAAUGCGCCAAUACGAGGCCAAUACAAAGAUGACAUAUACAGCAUAGAAUACACAAUAAAUUACCUUUUGUCCCAUGGCCUGACUCCAAGUAAGAUGGUGUUUGGUUUACCGAUGUAUGGACGAACUUAUUGGUUUAAUACUCGUAAUGUCAAUGAUAUAGUAUUUGGUGAAACAACUACGAAAACAACAGGAUUCCAAGGACCAUUCAGUAAAGAAGACGGUUUCAUGGGAUAUAAUGAGAUCUGUUUGGAAAUGACAAAUAAAUCCUCUCUAUGGACUCAACAUUGGGAGGAGCAUACGAGUACGCCAUAUAUUCGAGACGAAGAGCGUUUCAUUACAUAUGAUAAUCCACGCUCCAUCGCCAAUAAAGUCAAGUUUGCAAUGGAUCGCGGUCUUGGUGGCUUCUCAGCUUGGAGUAUAGUAACCGAUGACUUCAGGGGAUCCUGUGACGAGGAACCGGAUACGUACAAAGAUUACAUCGAAAGAUUCAAUAAGAUUUCAGACCAAACUCUUCUAAAAGAUGCAUUGAUUAGUUUGACAGAAAACGAAAACGAAAAUCAAUUCUACGUGAUAUCCGACAAAAAAGUACGUUUACGUCUUCCGAAGCCGAGUUUCGCAAAUUACCCACUCCUGAGGACUGUCAACGAAGCUAUAUUCCUAGCAACAGAAGAGAAGAGAGUCCUAGAUGAAAUGGAGAAAAUUAAAACACAUAGAAGGAAUGAGUUAGAGAAGGGCAGCUCACCCUGUAUAAGGACUUGCACAGAGGUCUGCUUUUACGGCUUGUAAGCCUUUCAUAAUAAUAUAGUAUUUUAUAAAACAAAUAGCAGAUGGUGCGCACGAAAAUUCAAAAGUGAAUAAAAGUUCCCUAUAUACAUAUAUUAUAUAUAUAUGUUACUGUAAAAGCUCGAACUAAGGUAAAUCUUA